AACAAAUACUUUCUAUUCUUUAUAUUCUCAUUUCCGGACCAUACUACUGACUAGUUCUUCAUAAAUGAAGGUCAAACUUGAUUUAAAGCAGGUCCAUAUAGACUAACAUUACACUUAACAUUGAAAAAGACAGAAAAACCAGCAGACUGUAGAUGAAUGUAUGAUUAUAACCAGAGACCACAGAUGAUGACACAUUCAAGAGAUGAAUUUCACUUUCAUUGCAUUCAAAUGAUGUAAUUUCACAUCCACCUCUAAAACCUACACAACGUUACUUCAAGAAGAUUCAUAACGGGCCUCCAACCUGUGGACGGAGAGGAAAAUAUAAAAUAAGCAUAAACUAAAAUUACAUUGGAUGCUGCAAUAAUAUUUAUUUGUUUAGGAGAAAUCUCCAAUUUAUCUAAAAAUUGAAUUAAUCUUAAGUCAGAACUUUGUCUCAAUCAAACAUGGAUUUAAAGAAGAUGUUUAAGAAGUUGACACUGAAAAAUAAACGGAAAGCUUCGCUGAAAAACACACAUGGUAAGAUAUACACUAUGCACUAUUGUUAUUAUUAUAGAAAGGAAUAAUGUCACAUCAUAGUUUAUAUUUCAUCACACAGAAAUUCAUCAGCUUUUAACAGAAGAGCAGCAUAUAAUUGAAUGUAAUUCGUCUGAAGUGAGUGGAGAGAGAGUGCUCGAUAUUCUUAAAAAGAUUUUAGGUGCACAUUCAAAUCCUCAGGACCUUCAGACUGCAGCUGUACUAAUAAAUACAUGGGGUAAAAUGAACUGUGUUACCGUGGACAACAAAAAAGGCAACUAUCCUCAAGAUUGGCUAUGUGAAUUUCAACAGUUAAUAGAUGAGUCUGUAGAGGGACACUUUCCCAUCCUGCCUGUAAAGAGCACGGCAAUGCAAAGAUUUGAAUUUCUAAGCAGCACUGAGAAUAUGAUGUUUAAUGAGGUGAAACGAUUAACACCUGUCCUAAAAGAUGCUGGACUGCUGGGUUACCUGAUUCAAAGUUACCACACUCACCUGCUUCCUAAGUUGAACCUGCUUGUAAACAGAGAUCUUUCAUUGAAUGAAAUCUUCUAUCUUCUAAAAUGGGGAAAACGUGUUUUGUUCAGUCCAGAAUCACAGGAUGUCUUUAAUGACUGCGACCCUCAGAUGUUCUCAGAAUUGUUUGACAAAGAAGAACAGAAGAUGCUAUGCAAACUGAAGGAUGAAAUUUCUAAGGUCUUACAAAACAUUGUGAAAUAUGAGGAGGAAGAUGAUGAAAAUAAUGAGAGGUCAAUGGAUGAUGAAUGGUUCAUCAGGGUGGACAUUGAUGUCACUAAGUGUCUGUACUCUAUUAUUCAAAAUGCUGAAGAAUGUAGUGUGAGUUUGUCAAAUUCGGUACAACAUCUCUGUCUUGAAGAGUUUCACAAUUUUGCUAAGAAGUAUGCAAAUGGAAAGAAAACAUGUCUUGAAAAUAUGCAGCCCCAUAAUGAAAAUACUAGGCGCUGGCCAUUCAACUUGUGUGCUAAGAGGAGAAAUCUUCCUGAAAAGAGAGAAAACCUUUUUGAAAAUCUUCAUGCAAACUUUGUUUAUCUGUGUAAAAUAAUCAGCACCUGUAUGCGGCUCAGAUGUUUACCUGGCCAAAUCACUAAUGUGGACAAAUGUGAAACUGUGGACGUGUUAAAGAAGCUUGAAGAUCAUGCUCUAUCUAUUGUGCACGAGAAGAUAAAAUACUCAGCGCAAGUGAGUUUAGAAAGUUAUUUUGAAGAAAGUGAUGAGCAUAUUUAUAACCUGACAGAGGAAAUUGAAAAGCUGUGUGAAUCUCUGCCUCAGACUCCAGCGGCAGAGGAGAUAAGAACAAUCAUUGCUAAUCUAGCGUCUGACUGUGUUUCUCGUGUGUAUUUGGAUUGCAUGAUAAAGAUCAAGUUUAAAAAGCUGCAGAAGAGAUGGGGAAAUGUUGAAGAAAAGAUAAAACAAAAUGUUAAACAUUUUCGUGACAAGUUUGCUGAACUGAAUGUCGAUGAUGAACAGAAUCAGCUCCUCAUGAGAAUGACUGAAGUUUUGUUUUAUUGUGAUGUUGAAACACUGAAGCUUACCUGUGCUAUUUUGUUCAAUGACUUUCCAGAAGACAGUGAGCAAUAUUUGCCCAGGCUGCUGCUGUGGAAGAAAACUUUAUCAGAACAACAAGUCAGGGAGAUUUUGGAUGUGGAUUGGGUGGAAAGUCAAAAUCCUGCAUGCAAAAACUGUCCCCAUUUCCUGAUGAGCCUUUCCUGUUGUCCUUGUUUUUAACAUCUCAACACAAUCAGUCAACUUUCAAAAAAUUGUAAAUAAUGUAAUUGUAUGACUGCUUCAAGAACUAAAAAAAUGCUGCUGUCUGUCAUGGCAUUCAAACAAAGACAGCUCAUUUUGACAUCUUAAGAAAACAGACAUGCUUGCUUUUACUGUAUGUAGACCCAGUAAAAACAACACUCAACAUUUAAGGAACAGUAUGUAGGAUUGUGGCCAAAACUGGUAUUGCAAUCACAAAACUUGUGGCUAAAACUGGUACUGCAAUCACACAACUGGGGCCCGUACCAUGAAAAUGGUUAAACAAACUCAGGGUUACAGGAUUAGUUUCAGGUUGACAAAACCAAGCCAAUGUGCAGGCCUUGUUGGUAAAAGCUAUUUUCAUGGUACCCAAAACCCAGGAUUUGCACAAACUAAUCCUAAACAAAGCUGGCUAACCAACUAAACCAGCUUCAUGGUAUAGGCCCCUGGUGGCCAAUACACAAAAUGACAACAUAAACAUCAGUUGAGGGCUGCAACUCCACUUUUUAAAUGACAAUAUUCUGGCCAGACUACUAUUGUCAGUGAUAUAAGUAUUUGAAAUGAAAAUGAUUUCUUAAUGUCUAGUGACAUAUCAGGGCCAUUUUAUGAUUAAUUGAUAUACAUUUCUUACAUUCUGUUCCUUUAACUUUCAUAAACUUUUGUCUGAUAUUGAUAGUUUUGAUAUAAAGUUUAACGCAUCUGAUGUGUGUGAAACAUUUGAGGUUGGUUAUAAAAACAGCUUUAGAUUUCGUUUAUGACUCCUACACCGUCAAAAAAGUAAAAUAAAAACGGUGGUGAUGAUGGCAGUGGAUAAGACACUGGUGUGAGAGACCUGUGUUUGAAUCCACCAUGACACAUCAUUGUGUCCCUGAGCAAGACACUUAACCCCUAGUUGCUCCAGAGGCAUGUGACUUCUGACAUAUGUAGCAAUUGUAAGUCGCUUUGGGUAAAAGCAUCAGCUAAAUGAAUAAAUGUAAAAAAUGGUCCCUAGCUGUCACUGGGAUGGUACCCUUUUAAAAAUCUACACCUCUGCACCUAUAAAGUUCAUAGAUGUAUAUUUGUACCAAAGAGUGCAUAUUAGUACCUCAAGAUACACACUGGUACCAAAUGUAGUAUUUGUACUUGAAUGGUACAAAUCAGGACCUUUUAAAAGCGUACUGCCCCAGUGACAGCUUGGGACCAUUUUUUUUCUGAAGUGUAAAUGGUGGAUGGUCAGACGGACACGUCAUGUUUUUUUUUAUUUGCAGUGAGAGGUGUCUUUAAAAAAAAAUAUAUUGCCAGUAAGCGUUUUGCACGCUGUUUAUGCAUCCCGGGCGUCCUGUAUUUUUGUUGGAGUGCUCUGAGCGCCUUAAGCUGAAAAAUUUCUAGGCCUUCUCUAGAUAACGUCCUAUCGAAUGAAUCAAAGGUCAGAGCAAGCAGCCUUUGUUUGUAUAUUUUUUAAGUUGCUGCUUACAUGACAUUUAACAGAGCGCUCGUGUUAUCCUUGACUGACAGGACAGCUGAUUCAACGGUUGCCUAGCAACAUAAAAACCGGCACUGCCCACUUCUUUUUCGAAUUUUAAGGCCCUGUCAACACAACUGUUUGUUUAAACUUAGCUUUUUCUAUGCAAUUUGGCCGUUCAUUCACACGCAAACGCAGUAUUAGGUGACUGAAACUGAACUUUUAUGAAAAUGUUGUUGUGUAAUGGGGGAGUUUUUGGCCUAUGAUGAUGAUGUUUUUGCAGAGGCAAGACUGCAAUGGCUUCUGAUAGGAUAUAUCACCCUCUGUUGGUUUGGCAUGCUCUUGACAGUGCUUUUUACAGGAUUUUGCAUGUUUGUGUGGAUGCAGAUUUUUUUUUAACAAAGAAGUGGAAAAUUCUUUAAUAAAUUAAAAAAGUCUACCAUAAAAGCAACAUGGUUUGCCUUGCAUUUUCAAACCUUAAAACAUUAUGUCUGAUAUUAUUUUUAUUCUUCGCUGUCCUUUGUGUGUUUAGGAGUAAUGAUAGGCCUACCUAAAAUUAGUAGAUUAUUUUAUGGGUCUUUUGAGUCUGACCUUUAAUGUAAUUGUUUGAUGUAGCUUAUAGACUGUCUAGAUGAUUUAUUAUUUACAUUAUUUUAGUUCAAUUGACUGACUUUAAGUUAUUACUUUUCAAAACAAAAACAAAUAUUUAUUAUUUGCAGAUUUGCAGAACUGAUCAUAAAGUAUAAAAGCAGAUUUGAAAGAUGGAUUUCCCCAAAGUAAAGAAAGGUGUGACGCCAUGCCGUGCGGUGAAUGAAACACCUUUCACUUUCAUCAUCACUUUCACUGAUGACUGACAACUGUUAUGUUCCUGUGAUGUUUAAUAGUUACUGUGUGCUGAUAUUAAAUUAUGAUGGCACAUCCAAGUGAUGGGUUUCACUUUCGUUUAAGCCUAAAGGAUACAAUAGAAUCCAUCUAACUUGUUUCCAUGUAUCCUUGACUAGAGGAUCAUUCCCAUGACAUCAACCUGCUGGCUGAGGGGAAAGUACCAAACAGACAAAAAGCCAGGAUCCUAUUGGAUGCUACAGCCUUCAUGGGAAACCCCAUUAAAUGUACCUGGUUUAUGGGUGGGGCUAUCUCACUAUAAAUAUUGUGCUGCAACUGUGCAGUUCUUUAUUCCUUUCAAACAUGAAAUUUAGUGAAAUGCGCAGCUCAAACAUGCGGAGAUGGAAAAAACAUGGCAAAGAUAAAGAUGGUUGGAAUCCUCUAUUGAACAACAUGGUACAGCACACAGAUACAACAAAUGGAGGACAGAUAUCUAACACGGAAAGAACCCAGCAGUACCCUGAUCUGAUCUCUACAGAGUUAGUGAAUGGAGAAAAAGUGCUCAAUGUUCUUAAAAAGACUGUAAAUGCACAUUCAAAUCCUCAGGACCUUCAGACUGC